rnacentral:rRNA from 1 species
UUGAACGCUGGCGGCAUGCCUUACACAUGCAAGUCGAACGGCAGCACGGGGGGUAACCCCUGGUGGCGAGUGGCGAACGGGUGAGUAAUAUAUCGGAACAUGCCCUGUAGCGGGGGAUAACGCGUCGAAAGAUGUGCUAAUACCGCAUACGCUCUACGGAGGAAAGCGGGGGUUUUCGGGCAACUGAGGACCUCGCACUAUAGGAGUGGCCGAUAUCGGAUUAGCUAGUUGGCGGGUAAAGCCCACCAAGGCGACGGAUCCGUAGCUGGUCUGAGAGGAUGAUCAGCCACACUGGAACUGAGACACGGUCCAGACUCCUACGGGAGGCAGCAGUGGGGAAUUUUGGACAAUGGGCGCAAGCCUGAUCCAGCCAUGCCGCGUGAGUGAAGAAGGCCUU